rnacentral:sRNA from 1 species
GAGGAAUGGGAAGAUACAGUGCAGUCGGAAGUGUUACUGAGAGAAUUUUCACAUUAUACUAUGAUCACUUGGGAUUCCUACAUAAGCUGACUCUGGGUCGCUUUGAAGCUAGUGGACCACCCACAGCCUUUGGAAAUUCUAGAAAUCUUUUUGGACAGCCUCCAGAUAUGGGCUUUGAGACUGCGCUUGCCCCACAGCACACCUCCUUAGAUGAAAUUAUCUUUUUUGCAUAUGUACCUGAGAACGAACCCCAGGAAACGAUCUACAGCAAGAAGUUCAGCAAUAUACACUAUGGAAAAGUGAUACACUCUGGGUAGUGAUAUGCAUUUAUUUAGAUGGCAUAUUGGUUUCUAGAAUCUACUUUUUAAAUUUGUUGAGAUAGGGUCUUGCUCUGUCAUCCCGGCUGGAGUGCAGUAGUGCGAUGACAGCUCACUGCAGCCUCAACCUCCCAGGCUCAAGCAAUGCUCUGGCCCCAGCCUCCAGAAUAGCUGGGACUGCAGGCACACACCACCAAGCCCGGCUAAGUUUUGUAUUUUUUGUAGAGAUGGGGUUUCACCAUGUUGCCCAGGCUGGUCUCAAACCCCUGAGCUCAAGGGAUUCACCCACCUCAGCUUCCCAAACUGCUGAGGUUACAAGUGUGAGCCACUGCACCUGGCCAAUAGAAUCUAAAUUUUUGGGCCUACUUUUUUGAAUAAUUUUCUUGGUCAAAUAGAGUAAGUCUUUUUUUGACACCCCACAAGGCCAAAUACAUUUAUAGACUCCUAGAUGUUUUGCAUGCUGCCCCAAUUUUAGAAACCUAGGACCAUUUAUAUCAGUGCCAUCAGGCCAAGCUAUAGAAAUGUGUUUUGUGAGUAUCAAAAAUAUUCUGGACAACACUGGAUACUUCCUAUCCACUGAGUUUACUCAAAUGACAAUUCUUGUAUAUCCUAGAGACCAACACAUUUAAUGUAGUGGAGGCUAUCUUUUAUGAAAUAUUGCAUUGAACAAUAUACAGAAUUCUCAGAAAUGCUUACAGUAAGAGUCAAUAACCCUUAAAGCUACCUUUAAGGCCUAAUAACUCUUAUUCAGAAUAUGAAUUCUGGCUGGGUGCCAUGGCUCACACCUGUAAUCCCAGAACUUUGGGAGGCCAAGGCCAGCAGAUCAGUUGAGACCAGGAGUUGGAGACCAGUCUGACCAACAUGGUGAAACUCCAUCUCUACUAAAAAUUAAAAAAA